AACGAACGCUGGCGGCAUGCCUAACACAUGCAAGUCGAACGAGAUCUUCGGGUCUAGUGGCGCACGGGUGCGUAACGCGUGGGAAUCUGCCCUUUGGUUCGGAAUAACAGUAGGAAACGACUGCUAAUACCGGAUGGUGACGAAAGUCCCAAGAUUUCACGCCAGAGGAGGAGCCCGCGGAGGAUUAGCUAGUUGGUGUGGUAAAGGCGAACCAAGGCGACGAUCCGUAGCUGGUCUGAGAGGAUGAUCAGCCACACUGGGACUGAGACACGGCCCAGACUCCUACGGGAGGCAGCAGUGGGGAAUAUUGGACAAUGGGCGAAAGCCUGAUCCAGCAAUGCCGCGUGAGUGAUGAAGGCCUUAGGGUUGUAAAGCUCUUUUACCCGGGAUGAUAAUGACAGUACCGGGAGAAUAAGCUCCGGCUAACUCCGUGCCAGCAGCCGCCGUAA
rnacentral:rRNA from 1 species